GCCGCCGCGUACGCCGCCGUCCUCCUCAUCGCCGUCUCCUCCUUCUUCACGUUGAUCUCCCUGUCGAGGAAGGACGGCUUCGAGGACCGCCGGGAGCGCGUCUCGUCGGAGGAGGAGCAUCGAUCCGAGCCGGUCGACAGGAAUUGUGUAGGGGCAUAUAAUCAGUGGAACGUCGUGCGUUUCGUGAUUACAUAGAGCACAUGCAUAGGGAUGGUCUCUCAGUGAAGAGGAUAAUUUUCUAUUUGCGUCGAGCCCGCUGCAAGAUACAAAGGUGCACAAGAAUCAGCUCGAUAUAUAACCGUGAGGAGCAAUGGAGGAUUAAAUCAGAUGCGGACUGGUAUUGCAGAUAUGGUAGCUGUGGCGCACAUAAUGAAUGCCACUUUAGUUAUUCCUCAACUGGAUAGACGAUCAUUCUGGAAAGACACAAGUACCUUUUCAGAUAUAUUCGAUGAGACUCAUUUUAUAGAAGCCUUGAAUGGAGAUAUUAGAGUUGCCACGGAGCUCCGAAAGGAGUUGGAAUCAGUUCCUCAUGCUCGGAAGCACUUCAGUUCUUGGGCUAGCAUGGGAUACUACGAAGAGUUGACAGGGUUAUGGAAUGAGUAUCAGAUCUGCAUAAGUCAUGCUAGUUUUUUAAGUGAAGUCUAUUCAAUUUUGGGUAAAUUCUCUAUUUGAAAAAUUUACUUGGACACCUUGUCAGUAGCCUUUGGACUCUAGCGAUUAGAAUAUUGUGGAUGUCCUUUGAAUUCAAUUAGAUUGAGAUUGCUUAUACUUAA